UACGGAGGGUGCAAGCGUUAUCCGGAUUUACUGGGUUUAAAGGGUGCGUAGGUGGGCUGGUAAGUCAGUGGUGAAAUACUUUCGCUUAACGAAGGAACUGCCAUUGAUACUACCAGUCUUGAAUACAGUGGAGGUAGGCGGAAUGCGUCAUGUAGCGGUGAAAUGCUUAGAUAUGACGCAGAACACCAAUUGCGAAGGCAGCUUGCUACACUGUUAUUGACACUGAGGCACGAAAGCGUGGGGAUCAAACAGG
rnacentral:rRNA from 1 species